GACGAACGCUGGCGGCGUGCUUAACACAUGCAAGUCGAACGAAGAGCGACGGAAGCUUGCUUCUAUCAAUCUUAGUGGCGAACGGGUGAGUAACGCGUAAUCAACCUGCCCUUCAGAGGGGGACAACAGUUGGAAACGACUGCUAAUACCGCAUACGAUCUAACCUCGGCAUCGAGGAUAGAUGAAAGGUGGCCUCUACAUGUAAGCUAUCACUGAAGGAGGGGAUUGCGUCUGAUUAGCUAGUUGGAGGGGUAACGGCCCACCAAGGCGAUGAUCAGUAGCAGGUCUGAGAGGAUGAACGGCCACAUUGGGACUGAGACACGGCCCAGACUCCUACGAGAGGCAGCAGUGGGGAAUCUUCCGCAAUGGACGCAAGUCUGACGGAGCAACGCCGCGUGAGUGAUGACGGCCUUCGGGUUGUAAAGCUCUGUUAAUCGGGACGAAAGGCCUUCUUGCGAAUAGUGAGAAGGAUUGACGGUACCGGAAUAGAAAGCCACGGCUAACUACGUG
rnacentral:rRNA from 1 species